rnacentral:piRNA from 1 species
UUCCACGUGUAAAUCAAGAUUUUAGAAGG